UAGUAUUUUUGAAACUUGUACCACCAACUUUCCUCAAUUUCUUUAUUUUUAUUGGAUCGUUUCGGUAUUUCGAUCUGUUCUCUGUGAAAUUGAGAUCCUUGUAAUCAAACGUUCUAGGAACAAAUCCAACAACGAAAUUUCUUUAUUUUUUUACAUCUAACUAAGUCCUAAACUAAAGAUCGGACUAGACUCCAUUACAAAGCUUAGAUUUUAGGAAUUAAGCACGUGAAAAUAUAAGCAAAACCCCCAAAAAAAUUUGGACUAGAAAAGUUGAAAAAAUUACAAAAUAAAGCAAAUCUCACACUGGAAUAGUAUUACAAACUCUGAGAUUUUAAGAACUAAAAACAUGCAAUAAUGAAAAUCAAAAAAUCUGAUUUGGUAAAGUUGAAAAAAAA
rnacentral:lncRNA from 1 species